ensembl:snoRNA
GGUGUAAGUGAUAUGUCUGUUAGUGACCAAAGCCUGACUUGCUGAUUAGUCAUAACUGACUUCACC